rnacentral:miRNA from 1 species
CUUGCAACUCUGCCUUGGCUUA